UCCACUCUGAUCACACUCAGGCUACGGUGAAUCUGAGUCCUGGUCACAUGUUUGAUAAGGACGUUGAGUUGUUUGUGUACUAUCAGGAUACCCAUCAGCCCUCUGCUAUAGUGGAGGCAGGAGUGGCCACUGCUCCACCAGGUUCUCUGAUGAGGGACCCAGUGGUCAUGAUAAGUUUGUACCCAGAG